UUUUCUAGGCCCUUUUUUGGAGCCUUUUCUGUUAGAGCACAAGUUUCUUAGUAGCCCAACAAUUUUUAUUCAUGCAUAAAUAUGUGUUAUCAAGGGACUGUUAUUUUGAACUUAAUAGAUAUUCAAUCUCUUCUUAAACAGUCCUACACAUUAUAAUAGGUGUCCUUACCUUCACCAACUUCCUUUGGGCGGUGGCUUUUUACAUGUACACGCAGAGGCUUCAAAGGAGUAAUGAGACACCUGAAAGUUCCAUCAUCAUAAAUUCACCUGAAACCACCAUAAUUGAAAGCCCUUGCCCACACAGAACACAUCUUUAGAAGUUCCGGACUGAUGAGAAAAUCUUUUCUAAAUUUGGCCAUCGCAGAAUCUGGGUACGAGGAUCUGCUCUAUACAGCUUGUUAACACUCCAGAUGAAGAAAAGGUGGUCUGUGAAUGACUCUGAGCUCGAAAGGAGGAUAAACUUGUGAAGAAUGUGAAGAAGAGUGAGACCGAACAAGCCGCAGCAUGCCUAUUCAUGUACCUGCUCUGCAGUCGCAAAUCAAGAAGGUUUUGUGGAUUACCCCAGCUCCACGUCCAAGCAAUAAACUGUCCACCUCAUGUAAAAUGUUUUACUGCUGUACUGGUUUUAAGUGACCAAGUUCUUGCCAGAAGAACUACACCGGGCUUGUUACAUUAGGAAUAUUGGUGCCGAUGAGGGAGUCUGCCGGCAUCUAAUCCAGCCCAGUCACAUGGUUUAUUAAUUAAACUCCCGGAGAGCAGCCAUUUGGCUUUUCUACCUUUAAAACCCAGAGAGCAGCCAAAUGGCUUUUAGCUAGGCUUU
ensembl:lncRNA